rnacentral:lncRNA from 1 species
CAACGCUCCACCACGCGGGGAACCUGCCUGUAGAUUGGGUUGAGACUGAGUUUGGCCUGUGUGCGACCCGCCGCCUUCUUCAUCUCCAGCUCAUUGGGAAUGGAGAGUUUGAUUUGGCAGAGGCACGGACUAAAAAUCGCACUCCCUCCUGCUGAUAUGGAGCCACCCAUAGAGAGAUGAUGUCUCAGUCAUGCUGAGAGAGGAAUGGAAAGCACCCGCACGCCAUCAAAACAACAACCUGAGCCAUGCUGACUGAUGCCACUGCCAACUGAGCCAGUUGAGCGAACAUCUUUAUAAAACAUAAGUUCAUUGUAUACUUAAA